rnacentral:rRNA from 1 species
AUGGCAUUUCCAGCUAGACAACGUUUUCUCAAAGCUCUUCUCUUGGAUGACUUGCUGCUACCGAAUUACUACUUUAGUACAUGUGGAUACCUCAGACGGGCCGUCUACUUCGACUACAGGGUGGGGGUGCGGGACUCCGGACAGCAGCCACGUAGGACUCCAACAUCCCCGGCCCACCCAAUCCCCCCUUACGGCCCCAUUUCCUUCCACAACGCCCCUUCUCCCCCUUGCUUUGCAUCCGCACCCUCCAUCUCCCCCGUCGUCUUGUACGUCUCCGGUCGCUAUAGAGGCAUUGCCGGACAUCCACAACUAGCAUCGACGCGCCCGCUCGCCUUUUACAACAACGUUGUCCAUAGUGGAGCCAUUUGUACCCAGGUACACUCUACCCCCUGUCGACGACCUCCAUGGCGGACACCACACGCUGGCAGAAUACGAAAGAUGGCGAGCUACUCGGCCAUGGAGGAUGAGUUAUUGUGCAAUGUGUGGUUGGCCAUAUCCGUGGAUUUCAUAGGCAGGAGCAAAGGGGGGACCUUCUGGCAGCAAGUGCAUGAACCGUUUCACGCACGAAAGCACAUUCGCCCUAUGACAUCAACGAUCUCCUUUUUCCCGGUUCGCCUCCAUUCUCCAUUUCUUCCCUUGCCUCUGGCCCCCGUCCCAAUCCUCCUCUGCACAAGCGACCGCGAGACAUACAAACCGAGCAGAGCGAUCGGCCGUCGCCGUGAUUCACUCCGGCCAAAUCCAAUUUGCAGGUACGCGUUGCAAAUAGAUAUGCCUCAAGCUCUUGCAUCAGUUUUUGACAUAUCUCCAUGCAUGCAACCUCGCAAGAUGUAA